GUGUCAAUGUCUACUAGAUUCUGCCCCAGGCCUCCAACAAUGGCUACAGGCUGGAAUGUGGACCAGCCUGCUUAGUCUUCAAAAGGGAAGACUGCCUAUGUCAACUCAAGUAUAAAAUAUCAGGAGAGCUCUUUGCUCGGGCACCAGUAGAACAAUACGCUGACACUGCUGAGACAGUGAAAGAUUACAGCUUCUACUUUGUAAUGUGGUUCUAGGAUGACACUGAGCAGGUAUAGUGCUUUCAUCGGCAUUGGCUUCACAGAUGAGGGUGAUGCCUUUGACUUUGAUAACUUCUGAAAAAGCACCUUAAAUGGAUAAAACAGGUAUCUGAGAUGGCCAAAGGAUCUCUUGAAAUGAACACUCAUCCCAGGUUGGAUCUGGGCUUUAAGGAAAGACAGACCAUCAAGUUGAGUAAUGGGAACAUUACAACCAAGGAAGAGAUGUUUCUAAGCUCAGGACUGCAAGAGACUGGACUGGAGGCCUCAAUUUACUCCCAACCCCAUCUGGAAGCAAGUUACUCUUCCCCUCCAUCCUCCAAGGAUGUUGCCUCACCAGCUGUUCCAAUUCUAACCAUGGAGGGAGUGAUGCAGAUAUCCUUUUAGGCUGUGAUUCUUCUGCUCCUGUCAUGACACCAGCACCAGCUGCAGUCUCUGUGAGCAACGACUUGGAGAGACUUUAUAACCAUUCUGUCCCAAACCUGGCAUCAGAGCCAUCCAACUGACUCCAG
rnacentral:lncRNA from 1 species